rfam:Marivirga sericea strain DSM 4125 genome assembly, contig: LX91DRAFT_scaffold00001.1
GGCGAGGUAGCUCAGUUGGUUAGAGCGCAGGAUUCAUAACCCUGAGGUCGGCAGUUCAAAUCUGCUUCUCGCUA